UACGGAGGAGGCAAGCGUUAUCCGGAAUUAUUGGGCGUAAAGCGUCCGCAGGUGGCACCUCAAGUCUGCUGUCAAAGACCGGGGCUUAACUCCAGAAAGGCAGUGGAAACUGAAGUGCUAGAGUGCAGUAGGGGUAGAGGGAAUUCCCGGUGUAGCGGUGAAAUGCGUAGAGAUCGGGAAGAACAUCGGUGGCGAAAGCGCUCUGCUGGACUGCAACUGACACUCAGGGACGAAAGCUAGGGGAGCGAAUGGG
rnacentral:rRNA from 1 species